ensembl:lncRNA
CGCUCCCGCUGCUCUGAUUCUCCGGCCAAUCUCCCGCUCCAUUGUCCCCUCACUUGCGAACAAGACCUUGAGAUUCUAGAACUCCUUUACUUGGGGUAACGCCUCAUUCCCUACCCGGAUCUGAAUUUUAUAUUUUAAACACAAUUUGAGACACAUUUUCUUUCGGUCGACAAGUUUUUCAUGUGCGUGGUUUCAGCCUGAGGGCUCGCUUAGUGGGACUUAUGGAAUAUCUGGACUGGAGCCCGGUAGAUUGGAGUCUAUAGCCUAGGUAGCUAGGACAUGUUUUUCCUGAAAUGUCAUGAUGUUUUCUGUAGUUUUGUUCCCGGAGGAGGAUGACUGUGUGGCAGUAGUUCUACGCCUGUGGCUCACAAUGGGAGUUUGCUACUGGCCACCACACAGCAUCACCAGCAAGAAGUCCUUCAGCCAUGACAAGUUUGCCAGAACUUGUUCACCACCUGAAGACACCUGGGAGGCUGUCACUUAUAAGCUGUCCCUUAUAAGCUUGCAGACAUGUGAGAGACCGGACGCCAGAGGAGCGAAAAUCGUUCCAGCAUGGGCCCCAACCACCCCAAGGACGAACAUCUACACCACAACACCCUGUGGAUUGCAGCCCUGGAGGAUGGAGCAAGCACAGUACUCCAAGGCUCCAGAGAGGUACUCCACGCCACCAUGUGGAGGACUGCUAAAUAGGUACACUCACUUAAAGGAUUAUUAGGAACACCAUACUGUUAGAAAUCGGCGGUUUCGUAUCAAAUAAUGUAGAACCCGUAUCAAUUCGAGGGAGAAGUUCGCUCAAGUUUAUUGGAAAAUUACAGCACAGAUAUCAUUCGGUGAACAUUCUAUCUUCUUCUCACUGAAAUGUUGGUUACAAACUGAUAUAUACAUUGAAGGCGUUUCUAACUAGCAAAGACCAUGUUUUUUUAAGUCAACCCCCCAUGCCAUAUGACCAUCGUAAACAUUCCUACAGAGAGAUAAUCUAAACAGAGAUGUUUCUGUUAUAUAGGGAUAAUCUAAACAGAGAGGUUUCUGUUGUUCUCAUUAUUUAGACACAUGCACUUUCAAUGAAACGUACAUUCAUAUGGUAAUUGUUAAUGCUCAGAUUCCACAAUACUAAUACUGUGUUUGACCCCCUUUCUCCCUCAGAACUGCCUUAAUUCUAUGUGGCAUUGAUUCAACAAGGUGCUGAAAGCAUUCUUUAGAAAUGUUGGCCCAUAUUGAUAGGAUAGCAUCUUGCAGUCGAUGGAGAUUUGUGGGAUGCACAUCCAGGGCACGAAGCUCCCAUUCCACCACAUCCCAAAGAUGCUCUAUUGGGUUGAGAUCUGGUGACUGUGGGGGCCAUUUCAGUACAGUAAACUCAUUGUCAUGUUCAAGAAACCAAUUUGAAAUGAUUCGAGCUUUGUGACAUGGUGCAUUAUCCUGCUGGAAGUAGCCAUCAGAGGAUGGGUACAUGGCGGUCAUAAAGAGAUGGACAUGGUCAGAAACAAUGCUCAGGUAGGCCGUGGCAUUUAAACAAUGCCUAAUUGGCACUAAGGGGCCUAAAGUGUGCCAAGAAAACAUCCCCCACACCAUUACACCACCACCACCAGCCUGCACAAUGGUAACAAGGCAUGAUGGAUCCAUGUUCUGAUUCUGUUUACGCCAAAUUCUGACUCUACCAUCUGAAUGUCUCAACAGAAAUCGAGACUCAUCAGACUGGGCAACAUUCUUCCAGUCUUCAACUGUCCAAUUUUGGUGAGCUUGUGCAAAUUGUAGCCUCUUUUUCCUAUUUGUAGUGGAGAUGAGUGGUACCCGGUGAGGUCUUCUGCUGUUGUAGCCCAUCCGCCUCAAGGUUGUGCGUGUUGUGGCUUCACAAAUGCUUUGCUGCAUACCUCGGUUGUAACGAGUGGUUAUUUCAGUCAAAGUUGCUCUUCUAUCAGCUUGAAUCAGUCGGCCCAUUCUCCUCUGACCUCUAGCAUCAACAAGGCAUUUUCGCCCACAGAACUGCCGCAUACUGGAUGUUUUUCCCUUUUCACAGCAUUCUUUGUAAACCCUAGAAAUGGUUGUGUAUGAAAAUCCCAGUAACUGAGCAGAUUGUGAAAUACUCAGACCGGCCCGUCUUGCACCAACAACCGUGCCACGCUCAAAAUGGCUUAAAUCACCUUUCUUUCCCAUUCUGACAUGCAGUUUGGAGUUCAGGAGAUUGUCUUGACCAGGACCACACCCCUAAAUGCAUUGAAGCAACUGCCAUGUGAUUGGUUGAUUAGAUAAGUGCAUUAAUGAGAAAUUGAACAGGUGUUCCUAAUAAUCCUUUAGGUGAG